UACAGAGGGUGCAAGCGUUGUUCGGAAUCAUUGGGCGUAAAGCGCGUGUAGGCGGUUGUCUAAGUCUGAUGUGAAAGCCCAGGGCUCAACCCUGGAAGUGCAUUGGAUACUGGAUAACUAGAGGGCGAGAGAGGAAAGUGGAAUUCAUGGUGUAGGGGUGAAAUCCGUAGAUAUCAUGAGGAACAUCUGUGGCGAAGGCGGCUUUCUGGCUCGUUUCUGACGCUGAGACGCGAAAGCGUGGGAGCAAACAGG
rnacentral:rRNA from 1 species